UACGUAGGGACCAAGCGUUGUUCGGAUUUACUGGGCGUAAAGGGCGCGUAGGCGGCUUAACAAGUCACUUGUGAAAUCUCCGGGCUUAACUCGGAACGGCCAAGUGAAACUGUCAAGCUAGAGUGCAGAAGGGGCAAUCGGAAUUCUCGGUGUGGCGGUGAAAUGCGUAGAUAUCGAGAGGAACACCUGCGGCGAAGGCGGGUUGCUGGGCUGACACUGACGCUGAGGCGCGAAAGCCAGGGGAGCGAACGGG
rnacentral:rRNA from 1 species